GAUGAACGCUGGCGGCGUGCUUAACACAUGCAAGUCGAACGGUGGUCGCAAGACCACAGUGGCGCACGGGUGAGGAACACGUAGCUCAUCUGCCCUCGAGCGCGGGAUAACGCUCCGAAAGGAGUGCUAAUACCGCAUAAGCUCACGAGUUGUAGAGGCUUGUGAGAAAAGGUAGAAAACCACUGGAGGAGGAGGCUGCGGCCCAUCAGGUAGUUGGUGNGGUAACGGCGCACCAAGCCAGC
rnacentral:rRNA from 1 species